UUCCAGCAGCAGCCUCAA
rnacentral:misc_RNA from 1 species